rnacentral:rRNA from 1 species
CCCUUAGACGUUCUGGGCCGCACGCGCACUACACUGACGAAGGCAACGAGCUUUCCUUUACCGAAAGGUACGGGUAAUCUUUUGAAACUUCGUCGUGCUGGGGAUAGAUCCUUGCAAUUUUUGAUCUUAAACGAGGAAUUCCUAGUAAGCGCAAGUCAUCAACUUGCGUUGAUUACGUCCCUGCCCUUUGUACACACCGCCCGUCGCUACUACCGAUUGAAUGGUUUAGUGAGGCCUUCGGAUCCGCGACUCGUUUUGUGGAGAAGUUGGACAAACUCAGUCAUUUAGAGGAAGUAAAAGUCGUAACA